rnacentral:rRNA from 1 species
UACGUAGGGUGCGAGCGUUGUCCGGAUUUAUUGGGCGUAAAGGGCUCGUAGGCGGUUUGUCGCGUCGGGUGUGAAAUCCCCUGGCUUAACUGGUGGCUUGCGUUCGAUACGGGCAGACUGGAGGUAUGCAGGGGAAAACGGAAUUCCUGGUGUAGCGGUGAAAUGCGCAGAUAUCAGGAGGAACACCGGUGGCGAAGGCGGUGCUCUGGGCAUGUCCUGACGCUGAGGAGCGAAAGUGUGGGGAGCGAACAGG